UGUAAAUUGUUUAAAACGCCAGAAAUUCGUCGGUGAAAACGGCGCGCCGUAAGCGGGGAGGCCUGGGUUUCAGAUCGUGGUUUCAAAACUUCCGGAUGCAGCCGCCGUGACCCCUGACUUUACCGCGCUUGCGCUUCGCCGUCUUAGACCGCAGCAGAAUGAAAGUUGUACCAUUUGAAAGAGCACAUUUCAAGCUUUAAAAUGAUGCCUGGAACAUGAGGAAAAAUUAAUUUUUCGGGGGACAAAAGUCAAUUUGAAAGGAAUCGUCGAUCUUUAAUGAUAAAAAUCACCGAACGAACUUUAUUUUUUCUUCUUGUUCCUGGUGCCAAACUGACGACAAAAAACAGGGCUACGUUUUGAUGUAAUCAGCAUGUUUACAGCAUGCACACCAGCGAAGCGGCGAGCUGUUUUCCCCGACGAUCGCCCCGAUUUGGCCGGCCGGCGGCGCCGCGCGAUCCUAACGCGCCAAAUUUUGGGCUCCGCGCCCCUCAGAAACGGAGGAUGAGUGACUGAAGCGGCACAAAUAGAACAUUUUUCGACGCUAUGGAUGAAGAAUUUCAAGCCAGGUUCCUACUGACCGGGCGAGGUUGACGCAGUUGGUACUGAGGUUCAGUCGCAGAAGAUGGCUCAGAAACAGUGACACUUACCUCCUUCCAUCUUGUUGCAGGUGGAAUGUAGAUUGUACCAACUCCCAGAUGUAGCUGAUAUAAGACCGGAGAGCGGAGCGGAGAUAUUGAAUGGUAGAGGUCAAACAUAAUGUUGACAAGUUGUGCAGCCAGUUCCAUUAUCAGCAUUAAGUUUGUUUAAAGAAUACUGUUGCUACCACAGAGAAUGAUAAGUAAGCUGUGAAAAGUUGUUUACCUUGAAUUAUUAUGUACUAGUAU